rnacentral:rRNA from 1 species
GAUGAACGCUGGCGGCGUGCUUAACACAUGCAAGUCGAACGGUGAAGCUCCAGCUUUCUGGAGUGGAUCAUUGGCGAACGGGUGAGUAACACGUGAGCAACCUGCCCCUGACUCUGUGAUAACAGCCGGAAACGGCUGCUAAUACCGGAUAUGCACCAUUAACGCAUGUUCUUUGGUAGGAAAAAUUGUUCGGUUGGGGAUGGGCUCGCGGCCUAUCAGCUUGUUGGUGAGGUAGUGGCGCACCAAGUCGUCGACGGAUAGCCGGCCUGAGAGGGUGAACGGCCACCCUGGGACUGCGAGAGGGACCAGAAUCCUACGGGAGGCAGCAGUCGGAAAUAUUGCAGAAUGGCGCCAAGCGUGUUGCAGACACGCCGCGUGCGGGAUGACGGCCUACGGGUGGUAAACCUCUUUUAGAAGGGAAGAAGCGAGCGUGACGGUACCUGCAGAAAAAGCGCCGGCUAACUACGUG